GGGAGGACGUGAAAGACAAGGACAACAACCUGGAGCCCUAAGAGGAAGGGGUGUCCGCAUGCGUGGCGGUAGGGUUAGACACCAAAGGGGAAGAUGCACUUGGAAUCUCUCAAAUGAGAUACGGGCAACAAUAGAGGACUUACGAUGAGAGAAGCUGGGCAGAGGGUACAGCCCAAUCUUAGCAGAUCCACAGUGGCAUCAAUCAUUCGAAUCUUCAGGAAUGAGAAUAGAUUUGAAAGAAAACCCCCUUCUGCUGGCCAAAGAUGAAUCUUUACAGCUCAACAGGAGGCUGCUGUAAUGGAUAUGGUGGUUGCCAACAAAACCAUCCAUUUGAGAUGUAUUGCGAGGGAAGCUAUUCGAUGUGAUGUUGAUGAGAACGUGUGGCCUGACAGAAAUCAGAGGCUGGACAUAGAAUAAACAAAUGGUUAUGUUUGAGUAAAGUUACCAUUUCAUUACAUUCCAUGUUUAUUUCUCUUCACUGUAUGAAGACAUUUCUGAGUCAACAUAAACUCCUAGGUCUUUUUCAUAUUGUCAUGUCUGUUCUUGAGAGUAAAAGUUGUCCACUGUUUGAGUUAUUUUUGGGUUGUCAACUGAAAGGAAAUGUAUGUAGCUCUUACUGUAAAGGUAACAUGUUUGUUUUUACACAAUUUGAUUAUCAAAAAGGAUGACAAAGGCAGAGGGAGUAUGCGCCAAGGGUUAAACAUACUGUAUUGAUGUUUGUAUUUAGUAUUUAUUGUACCGUUGUGAAAUGGCUGAUAAUGUGAGCUUUUCAUAAGAUGACAAAUUGUAUUGUUUUGAUGAACUUAUUUAAUUUUGUGACAUAUAUUUGA